UUCUCCUCACGCUUCCACAACCCGCAGGGGCGGGGGGGGAGCCGCCCUGGGCGGGGGCGGGGCCCCCGGGCAGAUGAAAGAAUCCGAGCCGCUGAUAAAAUGGUGCGCGAGCGGAGCGAUGAGCUGAUCCAAUAUGGCCCCCUUCCCUGACAGAAGCCAAUCCCGGGCGCGUUUACUCUGGAGGUUCCCGCAGAGACCUGGAUACUGGUCCUACAGCACGGGGAUCCUAUAAGAUCUCGACCUCAGACUUUCAUACAGAAACAUCAUUCGCUUAACUUGCUUUCGGAGCUUAAUACCAAGAUGGGCUGCAAUACCAGCAAGAGUACAACAGCGGUGGAAUCUGCUCAGAAGCCAGGAGAACAACCUGAGAGGGAAGAUAAAAAUGAGGACACAGGUGCUGAAACAACUGCAAAUGACCUCCAUAACUCAUCUGUUAAGGAUGGUGUUUCUGAUAUAACAAGCUGAAAUUGGAAACUACUGCUCCACACACAGAACGUAACUAUGAAGUAUACAAUUUAUUUACUGAUGUUUCUGGCUGGAGCACACAGAUUCUGUCAUCUUAUUUCUCUACAAACUGAGGGGUCAAUGGAGGGGGAUGGGGGAAGAGGAUUUCUUCUGGAUAAAAUCUUUCAUAAAGAAUCUCAAGGAAUCUUCCUGGAAAUACCCACUGUACAUCACUAAUGGAUGUAAAAUUCUGUCAUCUAACUAGACUAAAUACUGAGAAAAUAGAGAGAGAGCUCUUCCCUCGUGAAUACUCAAGGAAAACUGCAUACUUCUCUGGGAUAGGAACUAAUCAACAAUCAAUGCCACUUUCUGGAGACUGGCAGGUCUGAAGCGAAUUCACUUUGACAUCAAUAGACUCUAGCUGAUCGAAACCAUUCCACGCUCAAAUCCUGUGUUUAUGAAAUAGCUUCUGUUUCACAUGACUAUUUUCAGUUUAAAUAGCAAUUUUACUAGUUUAUAAUAUGCCUGUAUUGUACGUGAAACAAUGCAUCUGAUUUUAUUUGAAAAAAUUCAGACAUAAUAUCUUGGAAAUGUUAACUAAUUCAUGACAUUUCACAAAACUCUAGCAUAGUAUUUUGUGGAUUUUAUGAAAUCUUAAUCACAUUUCAAAACAAUAACGAUUUAUCAAGCUGGAACAUGCGGCUAUUUACAGUUCAUUUUUAUAACUAUGAUGGAAUCUGAUUCUGCUUUCACUAUUUAAAAAAAAUUGAGUAUAAUUUUGUAAUCUCCUGCAUUUGAACGCUUUUCUAUAUUUGAAAUGCAUACCAAAUUCACAAAACUUUAUUUGUGUUUUUCAACAAGACUGUGUAACUACAGAAGAAAAGCUAUUUCCAUCCAGGUUAACUAUGUCUAUAUUUGCCCGAGGGGGAAGGAUGACAGUUAAAAUUCAUCUACUAGAUGAUAAAAUAGCAUAUUGUAGUUCCUUCAGUUCUUUAGCACUUGUACUGUAACUAUGUUAACUUGAGUAACAUGAUUUUUUUUCUUUUAUAGUAACCUUUAGACAAAUUUUCCUCUUCUGUUCAGGAAUUGUCCAUAAACCUACAGUUUUCUUCUUCAUAAUUUGAAAUCAAAUUCUUGAGAAAAAUUCUUGGUCUGUGGAUCAGUUGUGAGCUGUUCAUGUAUUCGGUACCUGAAAUGAAAUUUGUUUUGGCUGGGCAUGUAAAGGUACUUGUAAGAUUCCUUUCUGUUGUGUGGAGGGGUGUAACUCAGGCUCAAAUCAGUUUUUUAUUUUAAGGAUUCAGGAUGUAUAUUCUGUAAUAUUUGCAUGAAAUUCAAGAAUGUAUAUAAGUACAGUCCAGUCAUUCAAUAGUUAAACAAUGUUUUCAGCAGAAAUUCUAUCUAAAGCCUUUGUAACCCAACCCAGCAGAAUUGGGAUAACAGAUUUUUGAUUGUACUCUGAAAAAUUCAUACACCUAUGCAUCUGGAUGACUACUUCUGUGAUGAUAGUAGGCCUUCACUUUGUUCCUUGAUUGCUAUGUAUAUCUGUAAUGCUAAUAACUCAAGAACAAAAAUCUAGUAAAAGGUGACUUGCUUAUAUAAA